rnacentral:rRNA from 1 species
GACGAACGCUGGCGGCGUGCUUAACACAUGCAAGUCGAACGGAAAGGCCCUGCUUUUGUGGGGUGCUCGAGUGGCGAACGGGUGAGUAACACGUGAGUAACCUGCCCUUGACUUUGGGAUAACUUCAGGAAACUGGGGUUAAUACCGGAUAGGAGCUCCUGCUGCAUGGUGGGGGUUGGAAAGUUUCGGCGGUUGGGGAUGGACUCGCGGCUUAUCAGCUUGUUGGUGGGGUAGUGGCUUACCAAGGCUUUGACGGGUAGCCGGCCUGAGAGGGUGACCGGCCACAUUGGGACUGGGAUACGGCCCAGACUCCUACGGGAGGAAGCAGUGGGGAAUAUUGCACAAUGGGCGGAGGCCUGAUGCAGCAACGCCGCGUGCGGGAUGACGGCCUUCGGGUUGUAAACCGCUUCCGCCUGUGACGAAGCGUGAGUGACGGUAAUGGGUAAAGAAGCACCGGCUAACUACGUG